rnacentral:rRNA from 1 species
AGUGAACGCUGGCGGCAGGCCUAAUACAUGCAAGUCGAACGGCAGCACAGUGGAGCUUGCUCCAUGGGUGGCGAGUGGCGGACGGGUGAGGAAUACAUGGGAAUCUGCCCAGUCGUGGGGAUAACGUAUGGAAACGUACGCUAAUACCGCAUGCGCCCUUCGGGGGAAAGUCGGGGGACCGCAAGGCCUGACGCGAUUGGAUGAGCCCAUGUUCGAUUAGCUAGUUGGCGGGGUAACGGCCCACCAAGGCGACGAUCGAUAGCUGGUCUGAGAGGAUGAUCAGCCACACUGGAGCUGAGACACGGUCCAGACUCCUACGGGAGGCAGCAGUAGGGAAUAUUGGACAAUGGGGGCAACCCUGAUCCAGCCAUGCCGCGUGAGUGAAGAAGGCCCUCGGGUUGUAAAGCUCUUUUGUUGGGGAAGAAAAGCAGUUGGUUAAUACCCGAUUGUUCUGACGGUACCCAAAGAUAAGCACCGGCUAACUUCGUGCCAGCAGCCG